GCCCAGGAAGCUGUGUCUCUCUGAGGCGUCGGCAGAGUCUGAGCAGGAAAACCAGAAAGUCCAGAAGGAUGUUUGGUGUGAACCUGACCAGGACCGCCACAGUGGACGUAUAGUCCUGACAAACUCUCCUGGGCGUGGACUUGGAGGCUUUGGGACGGAUCCGGUCGACCUUCUCUGGACAGAACCUCAGCAGGAAGAUCAAGACCAGCGUGAAGACGAAGCUGGACAGCAGGACGAUGGGAACCACGAUCACUUCCUGUUCGUAGACCCGGAUCUCUGCGGGACCACACGAAGCUGCAGCGUCACCAGGAAGCUCUCCGACCUCAUGAUCCUCCUCUGAACCAGUUCAUCAGCAUUUCUGAGACACAUUAAAGCUGCUGUCGCUCUCCACGCCCUCAGGUCAAACACGGAUGAACCACGGGCUGGAAACACUAAAAAAUAAUCCCUGAACAGCUGCAGUUUUAAAACUCGGGGGAUCGGCGUGCUGCUGUUUGUCUACCUGCCUCCUUAGCUCCGCCCCCCUCACCUGCAGCCGCGAUGCUCUGGCUGCUAUCAG